GGUUUAUUGACGAACUUUUGAGGAGAGGACCCAACGCUGUUUCGGCUUUCAUAGAAUCAUUGGAAAGAGAAAGAGUUGAACAAUUUGUCUUUAGUACACUCGCAGAUGAAUUACAAUCAUUCAAACUUGAAGACCUGAAUAUCCCGUCAACCAAUCACAACCAUCAAGACAAUGUCGGCAGUCAUGAGAAUUUCGAUAUCGACGACGAUGCCGUGUGCGAUGACGAACGACGGUUUCAUUCGUUGUCGGCUUCCGACGAUACGACUCUCAUCGACGGAUACCAAGCUGCCCUUCCGCCUAUCGAUUUUAAUAGACUUCGGCAAGCUGAGGGAUUACACGUACCGGAAGAAGAACGUGGUGAACCGGAAGAAUGCUCUGACAUCAGUAGUCAAGAUGGAUUAAUAAGCCACGCCCCUUAGCAACGAACUUUGUCAACUUUGCCUCGCCGCCCUAAAAAUGCCAUGGCCCGUAUUCUGAAGUCUGUUUCAUCUCAGGCCAAGGUCCUAAAUCUGGGUUAAGAUUAUGGAAAGCCUAAAAUGUCAAAAUUCUGUUAACAUUGAAUGUUUCUUAUGUUCACCGUGAUCUUUAAUUAUGCAAUAAUGGUGAAGAAAGAAAAAAAAACAAUUCAGCUACUAUACUAUUCCCCGACAUUUAUGAAUGAUGCGAAUAACAGAUGAGCUGAUAAAAUCUGCUUGUUAAUCGUGUCACAACUGGCUCUCCAUAGUUAAACCGUAACUUUAGAUUGGUCAGAGAUGAACUGAUAAAUCUGCUAAUUAUUCGUGUCACAACUGGCUCUCCAUAGUUAAACCGUAACUUUAGAUUGAUCAGAUUUUAAAUCUAAUUAUUUGCAUUUCGAUGUAAUCUUUUCACCUCCUCCCGGGCGUCCUCCAUCAAAGGGAAAGUGGUUGUAACCGCGGGUCAAAGUAUUUCUGUAAAUACUGUACUGUCCUGUUACACUCUCUUUCAAGGAUCGAGCAGGCCCCAUCUUUCAAAGAGUUACGAUCGAUCCAACUAUAUGGAAAUCCAUCAAUGACAUAAUUUUUCUUCAGGAAAUAAUUUAUGCACAAUGUCCUUUGUAGACAAAAAGAAGCACAUUGGAUUUACUAGAAGAUGAUUGAUGUAUGAAUAUACAGCAUAUCUAGAAAAUAUUUCGAACAAACGUGCAUUUUAGAUGUUGAUGUUGCUGGCUUUCCAUAGUUAUGUUUGAUCUGAUCAAUCACAACUCUUUGUAAGACGGGGCCCUGAUCUGCGUUGAAAAAAAAUCAAUACAUUCCUUAUCAAAUUUAUAUACAUAUUUGAAAUUACCAUUUGGGUGACAGUGGUAUUUACCUCAUAAGUAUCAACUUGAAAUCAAAUUUUAUAUCGUAGUGAUGCAUAUACAAAAGAAAAAUAAAUUGUGUAGAUAAAUUGCUACAGUUCGUUAUUCCGAAGGUUGGUAUAUACAAUAGUUUAGAAAUUCAAAAUUCUUAUUUGACCAAAGCUCCAUUGAUCUGAAAAGAAAAUAGGAUUUUCUAUUCCGAAAGUUCAUUAAUCCGAUGAAUAUGAUAUUUACUAACCUUUGAAAAUACGAGUUACGUUAUCGGGUCUUAAAAUUAGAAUACGGGUCUUAUAAUUAGAAUAGUCCUUACACUUAACUUCCAAUGAAUUAAAAUAGAUCCAAAUCGGCUGUUGAUAGUGGCCAGCUGAGUAGUAGAUUUAGAUUUAAACCUUGUAGAUUUAAAUAUCAAGCAUACACUGAAAUAUUUGAAUUAAAUCUUUAGAGAUUAAAAGCCAAACCUUAAGAUUAAAAAUAAAUCAUGGUCCUUAUUGACAGUCGACCUGGAUUGAUUUUAAUCCUUCAAAUUUAGAGUGUGGGUUAUUUUUGUAAUAGUGAAAUGACUAUUCUUAGCUCUAUAUUAAUUAUCAUGCUUAUAGUAUUCGUGCUUUACAAUGACCUAAUUAAUCAUUGUUUAUAACAGCCCAGUAACACAUAAGGAAACGGAUUGGAAAUCGAUCAAUGGUGUAUCAGGAAUUGUGUGAUAAUAUCCUUAUUAUUGUCACCAUUUACAAAAUUCAUGACAUGUAAAGGAGUGGGUUUUCAUUCACUUUAUGGUACAUGAAUUGAAAAUGUGGGGAUUAUCUAUCUCCCCCUUAUAACAAAUUUGACCUGGAUUUAUUUAAAUCCAUUUAUAUAAAAAAGACAAUUAUCGGCAGGGUGAACUUCCCCUUAAAGGACAAGUCCCCCUUAAAGGACAAGACAAAAAGUUGAUUUGAAUAAUAAGAGAAAAAUCCAACAAGCAUAACACCGAAAAUGUCAGCAAUUUCGGAUGUUAAAUAAGAAAGUUAUGACAUUUCAAAGUUUUGCUUAAUUUCACAAAACGGUUAUAUGCACAUCCCGGUCGGUAUACAAAUGAGGGAACUGAUGACAUCACUCACUCACUAUUUCUUUUGUAUUUUAUUAUAUAAAAUAUGAAUUAUUUCUAAUUUUCUCCUCAUUGUCCUGUGAGACAAAGUGUUAUUCCUCCCUGAACAUGUGGUAUUACCAUUGUUAUAACAUCUUAUGGUUCUUGGUCCUUAAUGUCAAAUUGGUAAAAAUUGAAAUAUUGUAUAAUUCAAACAAUAAAAAACAAAAGAAAUAGUGAGUGAUGGACAUCAUCACUCUCUCAUUUGCAUGUCACUGAGUUGUGCAUAACCGUUUUGUGUAAAAUAAGCGAUACAUAAAAAUUUUACAUCCGAUUUCGAUGAAAUUUUCAGCAUUAUGCUUGUUUGAUUUUUUUUUCAAAUGAUUCAAAUCAACAUUUUCUGUGGUGGACUUGACCUUUAUAUAAGUGUGGAGUUCCAUGGGCAUCUAUCUUACGGCAGACAAAAUAAGAAUGCUGGAUUUUCUGCACUCUCCUCGACUUUCACCCGAUAACUUUAUCCACUGCGUUUGAUGUAUUCACGUAUUGCAUUGUAAUUGUAUAUUGUAAAACAAGUAUCUCAUCAUUAUUUUACAAAAUAAAUUUUAUAAUAAAUAUGAUAGAUUAAGUUUUUUUAUGAGUUAUCAAGUUUUACUAAGUCGUGUACUCUUAAUGGAAAGCCAAAGUAACUUGAGGGCAUUUUUCAGUUUUCUUUCGUGGAAUUUGUAUUUGGAAAUAGAAUAGAAAACCAAGAGAGACGGAGUUGAACGCAGGAAUUUUUGCAAGGAAGAGGACAAAUAAAUAGUAAAAUGUUCAAGAAUACAUUUUAACGAGGGCCGAAUUGAAGGAACUGGUGCUCAUUUUGGUUGGAUUGAAAAAAAAAACAUUUCAAGUGAAAAACAAUUAUAAAAAAAUCGGGGGAGGGGCAGUAUGGCCGUACAUACACAUAUGUUAAUAAGAAAUAAUAUUUUUCAUUUCAAUGAACAUCACAGCAUGCAGUGAAAAAAAUUUAUUAAUCAAUUAUAUCGUGUCUUCCUUAACUUUUUUGGCAUUAUGUUUUAGACUUUCAUUUUAUACAUAAAUUCUUUUGUUCCAGUUAGUUUUAUACUUGUAUUGAUUCAUUGACCAGUCUUAAAUCUGUUAAGAAAAUACUAUAUCAUUAGUGGUACUAUCUUGAUAGUAAAAAGAACACAUUGUAUUUGCUAGAUUGAUAUUGUUCGUUAAGAGAGCAAACUCGAUCAUGUUUUUUGUUUAAGUCAUAUUGUUUCGUAGAUCUAUAUAUAUAUAAUAUGUGCGCCAUAUGACAAAUCUUGUAUCGUGUUUUAUUAGAGAAAAAUAAAUGUGUGAAUCUAAAUUAA